GGGUGGCUUCAGCACAGGCCUUGGCUCCAGGAACUUCUCUGGUGAUGAAGUCAGUUUUUCACAGGUUGUCAUUAAUUAACUUUUUUUUUUCUUUCAUCCAGGUGAAGCUUAAAGAGCAAAAAAGUGGGCAGGGCAGAGGGCUGUCAAAAGAUGACUGUGGGCUAUAAGAGCUAUUUUGCUCAGGGUCAGGGAGGUUGAGGUACUCUUGGUUGUUUUUCCUUCUUUGCUCUCAUUUCUGUAUCAUAGAUGUAGAUAUUUAAGCACUUUGGUGUGUGGUUUAUAGGUAGCAAUGUAAAAGGAACUUAAAAUAUAGUAGUGUUGUUUCUUUGUUACAUGCUUCAAUGUUUUGAGGAUUUGAACUUUUUUAGCGUGAGUAGUAGGGAAGAAUCACUUGGUGAUGUUUAAAAUAGGCCUUAAAGAUUUCUGCAAUGAGAUACCUUUAGAAGCAUUGGAAUAUGAUGAAGAUAAAGCAAGUGGGGUAGAACAGAUGCUGCUGAAAAACAAAUGGAAGCUGGCAAGCAGCUGAAGGCCUGUGGUGGUUGACCAAUCUGCUCUGAACUGUUCCAGGAGCCUCCAGAGAACAAGAGGGUACAGACCAGAGAUCUACAACAGGGCCUGAGCAUCUCGUGUAAUGUCAAGACUUUGAGCUGAGAAAAACACAUCAGAGUAUCAGGACAGAAAAACAAUGGAUGAGAAGGACCUUAAAACUCUGCCUGUAGAUCUGAUCAAUGGAUCUCUGUGAAGUCCUUGGACUGACUCUGCUUAUGGUCUUUAAAUGAAGGGCUACUUAAAUUGAUAAUUCCUGCUCCAGAAAAAAAAAGACCACCUCAAACAACUUUUUAUUUUGAGAAUGCCGAUGAGAAAAGAAACUUUUCCCUGCAGUGAAAUGUGAGAUUCUGAAAGCCGACAUGCCAUCUUGUCAUCGCCAUACACAAGUGCAGAAUGAAAUGAGUGGAGCAAGUAAACAAAUGAUUGUGCCUCAGAGGGAAUUGAGGAGUUGCUCCGCACCAAAGCAUUCAGAAACCACAGUGGGAAUUGUAAAAAAGAGAAUGAUUUUAUAUUACCAAAGACACCAAGAUUUUUGUGUUAUUCCUACGUUGGGCUCAGCAGGCUGGGUUGCUUUGUAUCAGGAUGAUGCUGACCCUUGGCUUCAGGUCCACUUGGACAACAUGUUGGGCCACCCUCUGUCUGCACUCAAAUGGCCAUCGAAACAUUAAGUUUCAUUGAGCACCAUGUAGCCUGCUUCACAGGGAAGGCAUUACCACAUGUAGUAUUUAGCUUUGCCUUACUCAUUGGAGCUGGUUUUCUCUCAUGCUGUCAUUACAUGCUGUGACCACAAGUUCCUUCUUCAUCUGCUUCCUCUGCACAUCCCCAGAGUCCCCAGACUGGUACAGUCACAGUGACAUCAGCUCCCCUAGCUAUCCAAUGGCAGAAGCGUCAACCAUCUUCCAUUCUGUCUACCACUACCAAUUGCCUUCUCCACCAGACAGAUGUUGCUCCAUCCAUUUCUGAUGCUCAAAAUGGCAACAGAACAGUCGGUAUCCUUUAUCUGGCUUCUUCUGUGUACUUCUUAUCUUCAGAGACUGUAAUUUAACUUUUUUCCCUUUUAAUUGAAGAUCAUGGGUCUGAGGAUAUUACGCCAUGAAGAAAAUCAAAGAAAGGCUUUAAGGAUUUUCUUCUUUUUUUCACCUCACUGCCCACCCCUCCUUUUCACUUUCCUUGGAGAGAACCAAACCUUUUAAUACCCAGACCUUCUGACUAAUUGUCCCUAUUUUUUAGGGGCUCUUGGCAGGUCUGGUGACAUUAUAGAAAAAGUCCUCCCUAAAGAGCGCUGCCAAUUUCAGCUUUAAUUCCAUCAGUAAACAACUUUGACUGUGUUGGGAAAAUUCCAUUAAUCAUUCAUGUUCUGUGAAGAAUGAUACACAAAGGAGCUGUCAAAAUCAAGCAGCUACUCUCCAUUUGUUUGGUAAUUAAGAAACUCCAGGCCAUUCUGAUGGCACAGGGAUGCAAAUUCAAAGCCCAGCUAGAACCAAAAUGAAAUAAUAUAGAAUCACCUGCACUUAAAAGCUAGAGGCCAGACUGUACUCUCAGAGAGUGUAUUUAAGGUCACUUGUGUGUCUAAGUGCUCUAUCGGGUAUUCUGAUGUCUAAAUGAUGUCAGCUGCCCUUGCAAUUAUUUGUAAUUAAUGUAUACACAAUAAUUUGUCACAGCACGAGCAAAGAAUACAAUGCAUGAUGAAGAAAAAAGAACAGUGCUAUAAAGGACAAAAAAGUAAGCAAAUAGGCAAAACUUCAGACUGUGGGAUUUGGUCCUAAUGUUUCACUUAGCCGAAGAGUUUAGUUAUCCUAGGGCAACCCUCUUCCUGCUCAGUUUCUUCACUGUCUUUCUCAUUAUGUGGCAUCUGCUUCUUGAAGCUUUAAAGACUUAAGUACAACUUCUUCUGGAGCAAUGGGCUGUGAAAAGGGAGGUAAAACAAUCUAUCUUUGGGAUGUUAAACACGCUUGGCUUUUUGAUGACUUCUUUCACUGUGGUUCUAAACAAAGUGGUGUGAACGGCUUAAUUCAGUUUUAAACGAGGUGGAGUUACUUACGAAUUAAAGGUAUUUUAGGAAUAUGGCAGACUGGUUUGGAGAAGUAUCUCAGGUUAAUCUACUCUUUGUUUGAAGUGAAAGGAUUUGCGAAGAAAUUCAAACUCUACCAGGACGCUCCUCCAUUGCUGCCAGUGAGCAUCCAACAGGGGGCAAGCAAAGCACCACAAGGAGUAAGACUUUAAUUAGCCAGGUCUAUCUUGCUGAAGUCAAUGUAGCCAAUCUUAGUUAAUACUGAAGUUAUAAGUCCUGAUGAAGGUAACAGCAGGGACUAGGGGUGGCAGGGUAGUAAUGUAUGGCAACAGGCUUUAAGUUAACACACAGAUAUGCUUUCUACAUAGACUAAAAUGGUAAACGUGCAGCGCUGAAUCCAGCCAGCAACAUUCAGAAAGAAAUGAGCUGAACAAGAAUCAAUCGAUUGAUUGACUGCUUUAAUCACAGACCUUCCCUUUUAAUCAGACUGGAACUAGAGGCUUAUAAAUGAAGACUUCAUUAAACCUUCAUAUAACAGGAAAUGACUUCUUUUAAAACAUACAAUAUUAGGUUUUGUCCUGUAUAACAAAAUAUGAGGUAAAAUAUUUCAUAUGUUAUGCAACAUAACUUGUAUGUUAUUACUAGUUAUAGAAUCUACUACAGAUGUAAUAGUAUUCUGUGCUAAUAGUCGAACUGCUAUCUAGGUGGCUACCUGGAAACUGCAAAUCAGGCAAUUAAAUGCUGGGAAACCCACGCACUUCUAACUGAUGGCACAAGCUCAACUGAGGCCCUUCAGAAGAAAUCUGUGCCUUCAGGGUUAGUAGUACUUCAUGCUGCCAGCAUGGCUGCCUGAAGCUGAACGUGAUGUAUUAUUUAUGAGAUUAUUAUUAGAUCAGUAGUGAUGAUCAGUAAUUCACUCACGGUGCUUGAUUCUGGGUAGAUGUUCUGGAAUCAAAGAUGAACGCAAUGGCCUGAUCCUUACACUGAGGUCAGUUUGCCUUGCAGGCUUUCCAGGCAGCCUCUCCUGGCCAACUUAGUGAUUGUGAUGGGAAUCCCCUAGGAAGCAUCCCAGGACCCUCAGCCUCCUACCACUGCCACAUGCUCCAGCAGAGUGUUACCUGGAGCAUUCCCUCCUAGCUGGUGCAAAAGCCUGCAAUUCUUUUUUUAACUGAUUUAAACAUCCCACUCAUUUGUUAAGAGUGUGGUAGCAGAAACACGACCUCGUUUUGACAUUUAAAUAUGACCUUUUCUUAAAACCACAGUAUACUCUUUUCUUACAUGUUACUGGCUUUGACGUUCCUAACCCAUUUAUAUCAGUCGAAGAGAAUCCAGUGAUGUAACAAACAAGAAGUUUCUCUUUCUUCUAUCCAAAACCUGCAUCUCAAAUCUGUUCUCUUUAGUCCUCAUAAGCAGUUUUUUGAUCUGCCAACAUGGACUACAGUUGCCACCAUUUUGGAGCAGAACACGGUCAUUCAGACUUGUCAGAUAACGGAGCGCUUCUUCUUUCUUGUCCUAAUAUUGAUUUUCCAGAAGAUCGUUGUGAAACUAUAAGCUGGAUUGUAAGGGGCAGGGAAAGAAGAUAACUGUCUGGUUACUUCUCAGCCUACAUUCAAAAAACAAAUCAAUGAAUCAAUAAGCAUGUAUCUCCAUUAAUGGACCGUACUUAUUUAGGAUUAAUUAGGGUGGUGUUUCUUAGUUGUAUGUCCUGCCUGCAAACAGACUAGACAUUUAUGUUUUGUUACUGCUAUCAGGGGACUGUAGCAAGUGACCAUGUGUCGGCUGAGCUGCAGAGAUUUCCUCCAAGUGCGUUCUUCUGCCUGGGGCUUAUGCAAAAUAAUUCACUCCACCUGCCCUCUUUGAAGACAGCCUGAGGUAUGCCAUAAAAGCUAGCAUUUACCUUCAGAUAAAAGCACACCCAGGGAUGGUAACUGCAGCCCAGCUGACUCAUUUUGACUUGCUGAGCUGUUCUGAUUUGAUCAUCUCUACUUUUUUUCAAUGAAAGCUGACUUUUUUUCUGUGCUCCUCGCUCUCAGAAGCUGGUGUAGAAACAUCAUCCAUCAUGAAACUAGUGACAUAGCCACAAGAGUGGACAAAAUUGCUGUUCUUUAUGUUCUCAUUGCUUAUGGAAGGCUUUUAAUAAUUUCACACAGCUUUAAUCUACACAGCUGGUAAUUGAGAUGCUUGGCAUGCAUUCAUCCUGCAUCUUCUCUCUCCUAUAUCUGUCACAUGAAGUCCUAAGUAGAAAAGUGAGUGAGUCUAACUUGAAGCAUGCUAGGAACAUAUCUCUGAUUGGAAAAAAAGCACAACCCUAAGUCCUGUUUCAUAUUCUCUUUCUCUCUUGACCGCAAAGAUCAGCCGUGAUAGCAUGUGCCAUGCAGACUUUAAUGUUUCUGCUUUCUGACAAUGUUAAUUAGAGAAAGAAUUAUCAGCUAUUUAAUACUUGACUGUCAACUUGUUGAAAUUACUGAGGAGCUCAGGUUUUGUCAUACACUAACAAGCCUGGACCGGUACUUGGAGGAUGAGUCAGUCUGACUGUCCAACAUGGAUAAUCAGAUGAAAUUAGCAGCCCCAGACCUAAAGGAAGGGAUCUCAGCAUAGAAACAUGGCAAAAAUAAAAGAAUUCCAAAGCAAAUAUAAAAACUCUGUGUCCUGAUGAACAGAUCUUCAGCAUUUUUCCUUUCCAAGACACAUCUCAACUCUUCUGAUUGCAGCCAUACAGAAACAGGGUGGCUUACGUUUAAAAAGUACUACACUUUGAUAGGCUUAGGACCUGAUUUUCAGAAGGAUCUUUAGCCAGCUUUUCAUUUUCCAACCCUCAGGGCAAAAUGAUUAUAGCUGAUGAGACUCCAUAUACUUAUAUACACCCAAAGAUAGGGAAACAUGAAGCCUAACAGUCUGAGACGUUGAGUGGCAGCCAGAACUUUGGCAAGGGUAGAGCUGAAGGAAAGCAUUGCUCAGACUGAGAAGUGGUUGCUGAAACUGUUCUUAAAGGACAGUUGUAACCUUAGUAGUGAUCCUCUAGGAGGGUAAUGUGGAAGGAGAGAGCUGUUCAGCUCUGGCUGUUGGAAGUUGCCUCCUGUCUUGGCUUGUGCUGUCACAGCCGGAAUGGUCUCAGAGGAAUCAAGGGAUUUCCAGGGAUUGCUAGGCUGUCCUUUGCAGAAGGCCAACAUAAAGACUCCUGCACUGCUUAAGCUCUAUUUGGAUGGCUUACGUGGUUGUAAAUAGCCGUACGCUGGCACUGCACACAGCAGUGGAUUUCACUUAAUGAAGGCAAAACCAGUCACUUAAAGCUGCAUCACUGCUGGAAGGGAUGAUAAUCUCAUUCAGAGCACUUCUCCUUUGGUCUCCUUUCCAUCACUCCUGCCUUUUCAUAGGUGCACAGGAAAGCCUCUGAUUUUUUAUUUUAUUUUAUUUUAAUGCCCUGCUUUCAGUAGGGCAACUUAAAGGUCAAGUAAGACAUUUGAUAUAUUUUAACACAGGCAGCUUUGGAGAUGAACAGAUUUGACAUAUUUAAAUAAAACAUCCUAAUAGCAUGUUCUGGCCUUGAAGGCCUCAGGCAGCAUACAUUGUAUUUGUUAGACACUAUGGCUUAAUUACUCUCAUAAAUGAAUUAUACCCAUUUCAAUUUAAAACCAUAAGUGUUGCAUUUGAACUAGGGUCAAAUUAAACUUUCUGUCAAUUAUGCAGAUUACUUAAGCAAUUAUGUAAAUUGUUAAUAAAUUCUUAAAUGGAGGGAGAAUUUUUUCUUGCAAAAAUAUAUAUUUUAUGCAUUACCAAGCUUAAAUACUUUCAGAGGACAAAAGUAUGGGAAGAAAAAAAGAGUGUGGCUUGAAAUAGCUAUCUUGGGAUUUGCUGCACAGACUAUCUCCACCUUAUACACUGGUGGGUAAGGCUCAUCUGCUCUCAGGAUGAAUAAGGAGAAGCGGGCCAAUGAGUAAAUGCUUCAUGAUGUUUUUUUCUCUUUCUGCCCUUGCAUGAGAAGUGCCUUUGGUUUAAGGCUUGGUGUUCUGGUGUUUGCAGCCAGUGCUGCCCCAGGCUGUCACAUAGACUAGGUGCUCCCUACCCAUCCCAUACUUUCUAAUGCCUUUCUGUAGAUGGGAAGACUUGGAAGUAGUGACCAUGACUUCCUUUUUAUUUCUAUUUACUUUAUCAUUUGAGGUGUGCCUCCUCCAGAUAAAAAGAACUGGAAGUAUUGCCAUUGACUUAAGCAUAUGCUGGUUGCAGUCAUGAAAAUUAGUGAGUAAAUGCGUCUGUUUUUCUGGGCUUGUAUUUGCUUUCAUACUCAAACCACUGAAAGCAAAAUCCUGAUCUCACUUCCAGAAGGAAGAGGGUGGGAUUACUCACUUAUGACCGUGGAACAAUCCUGCAGAAUUUAGGCCACUGCCUGCUGGAUGUGUUUUGAUGCAAUUACACUGAAUUUAUUGCAGUGCAAAAGUGAUUGGAAUUUUCAGGGUCCAAUUUUAGUCCUGUCAUUAGGUGGUUCAACUCUCCCAAGACCUGCUAGUCCUCUCACAUACACCAGUUUUAUGCUAGUGUAAUUCUAUUGACUUAAUUAGAAGUACUCCCUGCAAUGAGGAGAGAAUUGGGUCCAUUAACUUCAAUGGGAACUUUCAUUAGGACUCAAUUCAGUCUCGAGGGACUUCUAAAUGAAUUAAAGCUACAUCUUUUUUUGCAAUCCCACAGAAUAACAGAAAGGUGCCAGUUACAUUCCUGCAUCACCUCUGCUCAUUUGACACUGACUUGCACACUGCCAUUAUUGAAUCCUGCUGAUUUGUGUUCCUCACAGCCUGACUUUUGCCUGUCAAAAAACCAAAGAGGUUUCCAAAUAUAGAGAAAUGUCUAAUUUAUCUGAACCUGGCUCCUGACUCUCAACCUGUCUUGUUUCUGCCGUGGAUGCAAGUUGUUCCAGUGCCAGGUGGGAUGAGCACUGGAAAUCCCACCAGGAAAAACAGGAAAGUGAACCUGUGGUUGGGUCUAUGAGUUCAGGAGCUUUUGCGUCUCAGCUCUGGCAGGGGCAGCGCACAAACCCAGAACUUGGGCGUUCCCGACUUGGCCCGUGACUAAUUGAAAUCCUAAUAAAGAAAAGGCCUCUGCCCUCAAUCCUCCGGGCCACUUACCUUGUGCAAAUUAACAUUUUAACAUCAGUUAUAAAAUGUACUACAUCUCUGGGAGGUGGGUGGAGGGGGGCAAGACUGAGGAGGGGAGCAUCUAAUGCAAUGAAAUAUGCAUAUCAAAGCCUAAAAAGAAAUGGGAAAAUUCAAUGAAUGCUAAAUUAUGGAUCUACAGAGGGCCAUCUUUGUUAAAAUCUACACGGCGGUAUCUUUAAACUCCAGAGUAUUAAACCAAAGGCACGGGGGCAGACAUACCUGGCAACCCUUUACUUUUUAUUCCUUGCAACACUGAGAAAAUACUUUAUAAAAUAUUAGAUGAAAGGGCUCUUUCAAAGCUACUUUACUUUUAUGGUGCCUUUCUCUCGAGCUGUUCUGCAUACUUAAAAGUCAGAGCCACCUUGAGUGGAUUACAUUUUUUUUUAAGUACAUUAUAGCUUGUUCGCAGCAGCCGACGUAACAGCCACCCGACCUGCGUUCCCAAUGCCUUGUUGUCAUCAUGAUAAGCAUUUGCUGUGAUAGGAAGGCAAAGAGAAUCAACCUUUUUAAACACACACAAAACCCUCGCUGCUUUGUUGAAGCAAGCGGCAGCCCCAGCUCACAGGGAUACACAGGGGCUGUAGACAGAAAGCUAUUUAGAGCAUUGAAAACAGGCUUAUUACCCUGCUAUUUUUUUGUGCGCUGGGUUUUUUCUCCCUUCUCUCUCUCCCUCUCUCACUCUCUCCCCCUCUCUCUCUCCCUUUUUUUUCCCGUGACAUUAGAGAGUCCGAAGUGACAUACAUUUUUUAUAGCUUCAUAAAGUCGUCUCCUGACCGGGUCACCCUUCUCAUAACUAGGGAGCAGAACGCUUGAAAAAAGCCAUUCAUCAACGUGAAAGGAGCCGCUGUCUACUGGCUCCAAUAUGCACACAGUCUGGCAAGAUUCAGCUCAGUGCAAAUGCUAAGUUACUCCUUUGCUAAUGCCAAAUGACCCGCUCACUUCUAUUAGCACACAGAAGGGGACAAGAAGGGCAUGGCUGCUGUCCGUGUCUGCAUAAAUGCCUCUCAAGAUGCAGACCGGGAUCAACACUUCUUGCUAAAUGUACUGAACACAUUAAAAAAAUAAAAAAUAAAUAAAUAAUAAAAUUAAUUUCAUAUUUAUCCUAAUUAAAUAUUCAAUUAAACAAAGAUAAAAUUAUGGGAAGAAAAUUUGUUCUUGCCUAAUGGGCUAUGUCCCGUUUAUUACUUUUCCUCACAUAUACCAUUAAAAUCCCCGCAAAGGGAUGCAGGAUUGUUACUCCCCAUGUAUGUCUUCCUCUCUCUCUCCCCCACAGCUCUUUGUUCUAUGUGAGCCGGUAGGACUGGGUAGGCAAAGUCAGAUGGAUGGAGGGACAAGCAGCCUUUCCUCUCUGCUACGGGAAAUCUGCCCGGAUAAAGACUCUUCUGUAAAAUGCAGAUAUUUGCAAAGGGCUUGCAUGGGGGAACAGACUGGAACAUGGGGGGGGGAAAGCAACGAUUAUCCGGGAUGAGGCCUCUCCUUGCUAUUAACGAUGACCAGAUGACUUCAGGAACGCCCUGGAGACCCUCUAGUGGGCAAUGCUGGGAUGACCCGCCUAGACAAGAAGUUUCUUCCUGACCCCCAAAUAAUUAGAAUUUAGACUUCUGCCUGGAAGCCUGAGGGUUUAUCCUGCUUCUCGACAAAAAGUAUGUUAGGGAUGUUCAAAAGGAGCAGUAGAUUUAGUCAUUAUCAAAAUAAAUGUUGAUGGGAUUCUUCAGUCUUGCAGAGCUCUUGAUUCCAAAGAAACAUUACAGCAGUACACCUCACAGGUUAAGUAGCCACUGAGUUGAAAAACUCCAACAAGCAACACCAAGAAAACUGUUUACUUUGUCAAAUUUAAAUGCACUGCAUUGUUCACGUGGCAUAGGACCUGCUAUAAAUCAUUCCUCGAUUUUGCUCCUCUCUGCUGUUCAUUAUUUUGUAAAACUCUUUUGUUCAUAUUCUGACUCCAUCUUCUCUCAGUGCUAAAGUGUCCUCAGACUUUUCUCUUGUGGUUUGAAGGUAGUAUUCCACUACCCUUUUAUGACAUUUACUUGAAGUCCUGCAUCUAUUUUGUAUGUAUCUUUCGCAGACAGAGUGACUCCAAAUUGCUUCUUCUUGCAGUGGAGUGUUUCCUCUUCCUUAAUUUGUUAGUUCCAAAUAUUUAUUUAUUUAUUUAGUGCUGUUGUACAUUUAAUCAUGAGUUUUCUUCACCUUUUCCCAGUGCCCCAAGCAGCAAUAUCUUCUUUCUCUUUUUUUAUUAUCCCCCACCCUGAAAGAUUACAGAUACAAGGGAAUUUGUGGAAAAUCUGGGUCUAUGUAAUCAGAGCUAUGUGGUUAUAUGGGAUUUCCCUUUUUACAGAACCUAAAACAGCUGCAGCCUUUUUUGACUUCUGUGAGCAGAAUGCUUUAGUGGGAUGAAUGCAGUGAAGGCCUUUACCCAGGGAAACCUGAGUUCACCGUAAAAUUUCAUUUGUACAAAUGUACAAAAGUUCAUUGAGCACUUUUCUCAUUAUUAGCCAGAACGAAUUUUCUUCAUCUCUCUCCUCAACAGGGCGCUAACCUUUCAAAUAAUAUUUAUCAGAAAACAGUUUUCUCAGAAACAGACUCAGAGUGUAUCAGCAGCAAGUCAGUCCAGAAGAAAAUUAAAGUGCAUUGUUCGCGCUUCCUGGAUAAUAUUCUUUCCAGAACCCGCCUAAGCAGAUCUCAGAUAUUGAGUGGAGGACAUGAGUUAGUCAAAAGAAAUGCUAAGGGAUUUUUUUAAAGGCAAUCAUCGUGUUGUUUCUCAUGGGUCUUAUGGGAACUGUCGGUCAGUGGUGGCUUCCCAAACCUAAAUGGAUAAAUGGAUGCACAUCUUAUUGCACCAAGUCUAGGAAAUUCCAAGAUCCAGCCAGGGAAAAACACUGAACUCUCUUCUCCUGAGCUUCAUGUCAGAAAUCCCAGCAGAAAAUUGUGAAGGCCUUAUUAACCCUUCUUCUUUUGUUGUUGCUGGUUAGGAACCUUCUGCAAUAAAUAGCAUUUUCUUUCCUUCGAAAGCCAUUUUCCAGUUGGAUACAUGCAAGUCAAAGAAAGGCAAACAUUUGGCUGAAGUCCAAGCACCAAGUCGGUGACUAACCCCAAAGUGAUGACCCCACUCUCUACAUGAAGAUGCACAGGAAACAGAGAAAACAGAGAACAACACACAUGGAGAUGCUUUGGUGUCAAGGCAACUGUUUAGAGUCCAGCUGAAAAAGGGCCUUUGUUAACGUCCUGAAUGCCUCAGUGAGAUGGAGAAAAAGGCAGUCCACACUGAAAUAUUUUAUGGUUGGGAAUCCUUAACUUUAAUCAACUUAAAGCAUACUGAGAACACAGAGCUGCGAGAUGGAAAAGAAAAUUAGCAAAAUAUUUGAGCUCUUCUUAGAAUUCUUCAAAAGAAACAAUUUGGUUCAUUGGGCUUUUGUUUUCUUUCUUUUUCUCUGUUAAACCAAAAUGGCAUUUUGAAGGAAUCUUUUACAACCUAAAUGUUUGUGUAGCUGUGACUGUUGCUGCAAAUGACUGCCACGCGUGAAGAAAUCAAGUUUUGUCUUUUCCAUAAUAUGUUAUUCUUUAAGUCCUUGUUUUUGUCUGUGAGAACUUGAGCUCUUAAUUUCAGUGUCAAAAUAUCUUGCAAUUAAAGUGAGCCGAAAGAAAACAUUGAUUGGGUUCUGAGAAGCCUUGGGUGCAUCAAGGGAGAAUUAUUUUUGUUUGUUUUAAUACAGUCCAAGUUUUUUGAGAUUAACUGAAGCUCCAUUAACAAACAGGUAAAAAAACCCUUGCGAGCAGAAAACAAAAAGUAGCACUGCUUGCAAAGAACCCCCUAUUCUCCCAGUCUGAGCUCUCUUCUCUCAGAGUGCACUGAAACAUUCGCAGUGACUUUAGAUUUCUCUUGCCCACAUCCCUGCUUAGGUCACUGUAUCGUUAAUUUUCUCAUUUCAGCUUGCAGUACAGUACCUAUAUUUUCAGCCAUGUGCUCCCAACAAGUCUGAUGUCUCUCUCAGAGCACCGCACUGUUGUGUUAGAACAGCCUUGCCCCAACAUCUCAUUUCCAUUCCCCCGCAGCCUGCCGCACUUUUUUCUCUUUUCCCUGACACAUUGUCCUAUCUUUUCCCUCCCUAUCACAUCUUGCUGUUGGAUCACUUCAUGCUGCAUGCCAUUUGCAUACUGAAUACCAGAGGAGACAAGGUAACCAAUGUCGUGGGACAUGACCCGCAACAUUUAGAUUGAGAUGCACAUUUUUGGAUCACUCACCCUAAUCCCAAUUGAGAUGAAAUGCAUCUGAGCCACAACUUUGGCAGAUGGCUCACAAAUCAGGUGUUUGCAAAAUAUCCCCCAAAAGUGGGAGGCAUUUGUGUACGCUUUGUAAACUCCUCUCCUUGAGCACCCAGGUGGGACUCGGUUUUUAGGGGGAUAUCCCAGAAAACAGACAUGCUAUUUUUUAUCAGAUUUUUGGGGAAAGAUUUACAGAGCCUUUUUGGAAGAUUUUUUUUUUUUUUUUUUUUUUUUUUUUUUUUUUCCUUUUUUUUUUUUUUUUCCAUUUAAUUUUUGGAGCUCACCUAAACCCCUUGCUCAGUCUCCUGUAGAUAAUUAGCUUAAAUGCCAUUUCCAUCCGUCGUGCUAAUGCGAAAUCAGACAGCACAAUGUCAGGAACUGGUAGAAUGGGUUUUGAAAUGAGAUUGCUUACUUUGUGGGUGUGCAAAGGGGAUUUUUUCUUUUUUCCGGGACUUGGGGAGCCACUGGAGAGAUUGCUUCAGCAUAUCUUUUAUCUUGCUUUUCUUAACCACAUUGCAUAGAAUUUGCAGCAAAUCAAGAGCAAUAGGCAAAUGACUGCGAGAGGGGGAAAAAAAAAGCUUGCUCCCUUCACUCAAAGCAAACAUCAGUAGGAGCAUUACAAAGGGUAGUUAUGAAUCAUUUGGAAACCCUUGUUUUGCAACCCUCUUUUAAUAGUUGCAUGUCCCCCGACAGUUGCUGCUUGCCCUCUUCCUGGUGGUAUAUGUAUCAGGCGGAGAUGUGUUAAUCAGCUUUAUGAAGUUUGACCGUAGCGAGCCUCCUGCUUGUAUUCAGUCAGUCAGUGUUUGGCCUGAUGGUGCAGUUCUCCUCAGUUCCACUGCUUGAGUUCAUUAUUCCAAUGUUCUUGGUGGAGUCAUCCAGGAAGGGUUCUGCAUGAGGUCCGGGUGCCUCUGUUUCAUCCUUCUCAUAAAGUUUGAAUGAAGCUCAGCUGAAUUAGGCUUCUCAAUAAAGUUGCCAUUAUUAUUAUUAUUAUUUGUUUUUCUGAUCUGCCACCAGAUUCUUGGGAACAAGGGGCUUAAGUUUUGCCCAGCCAGUGCUGGAAGUCGGGAAGAACAGAGGGAGAGUAGCAGAUAUACACAGGCAGAGAAGGAGUGGAAGUGAAACCAUAAUCUCCUGUACUUUUAUACAGAAUGCAAUGCCCUUUUGUCCUUCCUCUGCCUUCCUCUGAAAAGCAAGAUCCCUACUCCCAUCAUUACACUGAGAAAUGUGCUCAGCACCUUGUAGGAUGAAGCCUGCCAUUGAGCUGCGAUGCUGCAGUGGCACGUGUGGUCCCCUACCCCAUGCUUGCCCAAAGCCCAAAGUCCAUACCAAGGCUACAGACAUCCAGCAAGCAUAAGCCCAUCUCCACGGGCACGCACAGUGAUUUGUUGAAUUUCUACAUAUGACACCUCCUUCCCCCAGCCCCCCUCCCCGCUUCUCCUCUCGGCGUAGUUGAACUUUAAAGGGCCCAGGAGAAAAAAGAAAUAAGACUUUAAAUAAUUUAUUUUGGAGAAACAGUCAGUGAAGAGGAACAAACAAUGUUUCACUAAAAGAAGCGGGACCUUUGACACUCCCCUUUUCGCUCGGGUACCUGAAGGCCUAGCCGGAUUGCAUUAGUGAAAUUUUCAUUUGAUGGCAUUUUAAUAUUCUGCCUUGAUGACUUUUUAGCAACAUUUACUUUCAGAGGUCUUGAGUGCUCCCUCGGAGGAAAUGAAACAUGUCAAAGCCCAUUACAAAAAUCAAAAUUUAAAUACCUCGGCCACGUUGGGGCUCACACACAAUCCCAUCAGCGCUUAAACUGUGGCUCGCAACUACUCAUUCACUUGCUCAGUUGGUAAUGAGUACAUUUGAUGAAGCAUUCUGGGGUCACAGAACAUACGUUAGUGAUCUAAACUUAACCCAUUGAUUGCUUAUACACAGAGGACCUAGGGAGGGGGCACUUUAUUGAAAUGUAGCAUUGGAAUAAUUUCCGCCAGUGCUGAAAUAACUUUUUUUUUUCUUCUGUUUUAACAAUCGCUUUGAUGAAUUGGAAUGUUGAUAAGCAUGAUGGGAGGGCUUUAUUUAAGGUGGGGAGGAAGGAACUGGGCUGAGAAUACAGAGCAGUUAGCUGGGUUCUUCAGCCACUAAAAAGCAAGCUGAAGACAACGCUGGUGCUCUCUCUUUAUCAAACUCACAUUUGUGCUUCCUUGGAAAUCUUUCCUGUUCUGUCACCUACUUUCUGGUUGUAUUUUCACCUGACUGUUCCUCUUUUCUCCACAUUUUUUCAAACUAUUUGGCAUAAAUAGUUGGGAAAUUUGUCUUUCCCUUCUUUUUCCUCCUCCUCCUUUCCCCCCAAAAAACACCAAGAGCCCUUUUCCUGCUGUAAGUUAACGCAGCUCAUGAGAUAACCAAGAUGUCGAUAUAUGUAAAAUUUUUUCUUACCAUCAUCUUGAACUUGAGUAUAUGCUCGGUUCACAGCAUUCAGGAGCAGUUCUGGCAGUCCUUCUGGCCAAUGCUUUCCCAUGCCCGAGGCAGGCCAACUCCAAAUGGUGCUCUUCGGGAUUGCAGUGCAAUCAGCAGAAGUCUGCUUGAUUCUUCCAACAAUCGCUGUCCCUUUAGUCAGGCAGCUUUUAUCGAUCCUUUGCAUUUUAACUGUGGUGUUAAAAACAGCAUUUAGAAGGCAGAAGUGAUGCAGAACCCAAGAGUUCAUUAAGAUCCAGAAUAACCCGUGAUUUAUGCCGGACAGGCCAGAUAUCACAAAGUGGUUAGAGACAGCUUUGCAUCAUGAAAACCGCUUUCUUCCAGACAAAGACUGGUGUUCUUGUACUGAAGCUCACAUUUCAGCACUGCACUUAGGUCUCUUUUAUUCUCAUUUUAAAUUAAGCAGUCCUGAUAACAUGCGCUACCAAUAAAUUCAGAGGGACAAAAAUUGUCUUAAUUAAGUAAUUAGUUGAACUAACAAGUAGCAAGCUGCAAAUUGCUCCAAACUGAGAUCUAGCUAAAAAUCUGAAAUCUGUGCAGCUUGAGAAAUGCACCGAGCAAAAUCUGGGCCCACUCUGAAGUUCCCAUAGGAUGCUAACUCUUAAAGCUGAUGUCACCUGUGAGCAAUAAGAUGCCAAACAGCCCUUGAGGAUGAAAAAAUGAUCAAACUUUGGAAAACAACUUGGCUCUCACCUGAAUAUCAAUGAUCCUUUGGGCUGAUGGGAGGCUUUCUCCCUCACACACAAUUAGAUAGAGAUUAGGCUGGGCUGGAAAUUCCCAAAGGCAAAAUACAAUAAAAACAUUGUACACGGGGAAGGUUGUAACCCUUUCUUUUGUUGAUGAAAGAGUAGCCUAGCUCUAAGGAUUCAUAACAUUAAACAGUUGUAGGUAUUGUGAGGAGACCACUAUUAAAUUGAAUCAGGCCUACCACUAUUUUGUUGUGAGCUUUUAUUGCAAGGAGGAACAUAGAAUACAGGAAGCAUCUUGAGUGUAAAAGCACUUUCUGGGAUUAUGAAGGACAAGUGGUUCAAUGCAAUUUAUACAUGCUAUAAAUGUUGUCAAAAGUCCAGUUGCAGCCUCUGACCAAUUAUUUUGCAUUGCAAUAACCAUUAGAUGAGAAGGGUAAAACACUGGUUGUUAUAAACAAAACCCCAGGAGCUCCCAUUAUUCUGUCCUGGCUUUUCUUAGAACGUGCCUGAAUUCAUUGUGAAUAAUCUAACAGUAAACAGAUUUGAACUUUUUUUGGGGUUGUCUUUUGGAAAUGUGCUUGCAGUCAAGUUUUACAAGAAAGAAUAGUUAGCAGGAGCCAGUUUUAACCACAUAUAUUUAGAUGAAAUCAAAUAGCAAGACAGACAGUUAGAAAACUGGGAGAAUUCUUCAGUGAAUCUGUGUAAUGAAUAAUUUUGACAUUCUGCGAGGAGAAAAAGGCAAAUUCACAGAACUUGUUACAGAUUCUUUGCUCAGCUCUGCUAGUAACUAAGCAAAAUCAAUACAGCAUGAAUGAGGGAUCAUGGAAUCAGGUAAACGAGACAAAAAUAAGCAGGCUUCAGAGUGCAAUUCUUAUUCUUGGUGAGCAGCAGUGGACUUUUUGCCUUUGUAGAUUUUGUCAGUAUCUCCAUUACAGAAACAGGGAGCAGAAAUUGAUCUGUGAGAGCUGUCCUCGUCACACAGCAGGAAUGCAAAGUAAAGGACCUCAAGUGCACUCCAGACUUUGAUGCCUUCAUGCUGAAGCCCAUAGAAAACAGCAGCCAAGCAAUUUGACUGUUAUGUGAUAGAUAGUCACUCCGAGACAACAUCACCACAGAGAAGCAGCCUGGCUGCUUUUGCCCCGGUUCUGCCAAUCUGACUCAAGACCUGUCUGAAUUCGUUGACCCAUUUCUCCCUCAUUCUGGUGCCCGUCCUGCACACCACGUAUGCUAUAAAUCCAUCGCGCAGUAUGCUGCACUGCUCUUCUGUAACAUGAAUUUAUGCUAAUGGCUGUCUGCAUAUGCUUAUAUCACAUAUCUAUAUUAAACUUAAUAGUCUGUUACAUUGCUUCUUAACCCUGUGUCCACACAUGAUUAACUUUUCUGAUUUCUUUCAAAACCGUUAUUAACACAGUGUAGCAUUUCCCUCAACAUGUCACUAACUUUCCCUGCCUGAUGCAGGAGUUGGGGUAAUUAUGCAGCCCUAUAGCUCUUCCAAGUAACGCUGUACACAAAGAGUUAUGAGUUUCUUCAGCAGUUUGAGGAUUUGUGUGGAUGCGUGGAUGGUGGAUGUGUUAACAUGCUUUUGUUUAAAGAUAACAACAGGUUAGAGAUGAUCCAACAAAGACUGAUUCUUAGUUAAAUGAUACUUAGGUGAGUUCAUUAAUUUUGAGAGUGUAUGUCAGAUUCAGAGGCAAGGCCAUCAGCAUGCUUGCAUACGUGGAGAUACAUGUGAUGGGUUAAUGACUGGACUGAUGGGUUGAUGGUUGGACUGGUGGUCUUUGUGGUCUUUUCCAACCUUAAUGAUUCUAAGAUUCUACCAAAGUCACUUGAAAGUCAGAGCCUGUACUUAAGGAACAGUUCAAAUGAUAUGGAUCUUUCUUUCAAAACUUUUCUAGAGACCUAUGAAGAGCUAGACUUGGACACUCUGAUAUUAAUGAAGGUAAUUAUUUUUAGGUAAAUAACAUACUAAUAACAGAUUGGUUUCUCUCUGGUUUAAAAUACUCUAUUUGCUUAUAAAUACACAGUUCAUGGGUGCAAACUCAGACUUCUUGAUUUUCUGCUCAGCAUGUUUUUGUAUCUUGGCCAUGGCUCUGGCAGUGGCUGCAAAAAGCAGUGAUGUUUUAGCUUGGAGAUUCUGUGCCAUAUAGGAUACUUUCUAAAGUCAGGAUAGCAUAGCAAACAGUUUAGGAUGUCUUUUCAUUUUCACAGAACAAUUUAAGGUUAAAAUGCCAGUGUCAUGAAGUUUGGAAUCAAAAGGCCUUUGGAAAGCUCUACCUGAUGCAACUCACACUUUUAAAUAUAAAGAUGAACUUGUUAUUUCCCUCCCAUUUUUCUGUGUCAUUUCAUUUUUUAAAAUGAAUUUUGAAUUUUAUGUUUUAAUUACAAAUACACUCUCAGCCUUGAUAGACCACAUGUGAAGAAAGAAGUUAGAAAAAAAAAAAAAUAGAAGAAAUGGAAAAGUAGUGUAAAUAAACAGUUACUAAUGUACUAUUUUUGAUUUUCCUGUUUACUUUGUACAAAAGUUUUCUGGACGUCAUUAAUGGCAGUGGCAUUUAUUCAGCCCAAUUUUGACUUCAGAAGACUGACUGUUUUCCAAAGGUUGAGCACAGGGAGGCUUUGAAGAGAACUCUGCUUCAGUUUUGCUGAGUAGACUUGAGAGGCCAGCUGUACUAACCUCUGCAAAAUAAGAGUUUGCAGGGUAUGUUCAACUAAAGCUUUCAGAUAGCAAGGGAAGAAAAGAAACUUUUCAGUUGCUUUAAAGGAAUAAGUACUUGUUGAGAGAUACUGUCUCUUGCUGAGUGGUCUCACGUUUUUUAUUACAUUACUGAGUGGACAAAUAAAUAAUUUACUAGCUUAUGUGCAAAAUGCACUUCUAGCUUCUGCUGGAUCAGUACUGGCUCACAAACUACUGCUCCAAUACUUGAACUUACUUUAUCCUUUAGUCUCUGGCCAAUAAUUUUUAUUUUUACUGGACGACAGUUUCAAAUGAUAGAACUAUUUCUCUAGCAUUAUGUAUGGCUUAACUGGCAACUGCCAAGCUAUGAAAUCACUGUAAUCAUGAUGUGAAGCCACUGUACAUGUUGUUUUUAACACCAGUUUGCUAAACAGAGAAGCAUGCCAAUGGUGUUAGAGAUAACCUAGUUUGAAUUGCUCGGAUAAUAGGUCCAGGCCAUCCCAAAGAAGGGAAUGUAUCUGCCCCAGCUUGGUACCAUAUUAAAAUAUAAGCUGGUGGCAGCCAAGACUAUAUGAGCUCUGAAAAAUGUUGGGCUGGUGUAAUACAUAUAGCCCUCAUGAAACAGAAUGGGCACUAGGAGGGCAAAACAGAGUGAAAUACCAGAGUGCUCUUGUGAUUGAUUGUAUUGCAUAAGUGAACAAGGAAAAGGAAAGAACUUUUGCUAGUGAAAAAUAGAUCUUGGCAACUCAGGGAUUUGCUGUAACAAGAACUCCAAUAAAAUAAAUGCGGAGCAUUUUCAGGGUAUGGGGGCUGAAUGAGCACAAUCUUCCCUUGGCUGUAACUGCAUCACUCUCACCCACAGCUCCCUCUGCUGAACUGAAAUCUAAGUUAGAAACAACAUAGUCAAACUUGAACAAGGCACAUUCAAUGAAGACUCCAUUAUGUGUGUAAUUGUAUAUAGCAUUUAUGUGCACAGUGUUUUAGGGCCUGCCAUGAACUCUGUCUCCCAAUAAAGCACAUCAUGCUGAUAGUCAAAGAGUCCAGCAGUCUCUACAAUCAGACUAGGUCUACCUCCAAGCCCAGGCAUGAGUAAAAAUUAGCCAUUAAGCUAAUGAUGUGCCAUGAUUUUCCAUGUCUUCCAUUGUUUGCCUUAUUGUCAACUUCCUCAUCAGUCCUCUAAGUUUUCCUUAUUUUCGAUUAGUCAUUUUCUUGUUUCUCUUUGGAUGCUUUUGGCUAUCCUUCAUUAGAGCAACCACAAAGGAAUAACUAGAAUUUUUGUAGUAUACCACUAAAGCUAUCUGCGGUAGAGAAGGGGUUAUAUCACUUAAUUGUAGAGAGUUGCUCUGUCCUGCUUUUUACAUUAACUAAUGUCACAUGGAUCUUUAUAUUUUUAAUUAUUAUUGUUGUUUUGGAAACGUCUAAUAUGAGUAAAGUUCCUGUGAGACUCUUAAAUAAAAGAUUUCAUUAAAAA